AUUGAACGCUGGCGGCAUGCCUUACACAUGCAAGUCGAACGGUAACGGGCCUUCGGGUGCCGACGAGUGGCGAACGGGUGAGUAAUGUAUCGGAACGUACCUUUCAGUGGGGGAUAACGUAGCGAAAGUUACGCUAAUACCGCAUAUUCUGUGAGCAGGAAAGCAGGGGAUCGCAAGACCUUGCGCUGAUUGAGCGGCCGAUAUCAGAUUAGCUAGUUGGUGAGGUAAAGGCUCACCAAGGCGACGAUCUGUAGCGGGUCUGAGAGGAUGAUCCGCCACACUGGAACUGAGACACGGUCCAGACUCCUACGGGAGGCAGCAGUGGGGAAUUUUGGGCAAUGGGGGAGACCCUGACCCAGCGACGCCGCGUGAGGGACGAAGGCCCUUGGGUCGUAAACCUCUUUUGCAGGGGAAGAAGCGAGUGACGGUACCUUGCGAAGAAGUCCCGGCUAACUACGUG
rnacentral:rRNA from 1 species